AGUGAACGCUGGCGGUAGGCCUAACACAUGCAAGUCGAACGGCAGCACAGUAAGCGCUUGCUCUUACGGGUGGCGAGUGGCGGACGGGUGAGGCAUACAUCGGAAUCUACUUUUUCGUGGGGGAUAACGUAGGGAAACUUACGCUAAUACCGCAUACGACCUACGGGUGAAAGCAGGGGAUCUUCGGGCCUUGCGCGAUUGAAUGAGCCGAUGUCGGAUUAGCUAGUUGGCGGGGUAAAGGCCCACCAAGGCGACGAUGCGUAGCUGGUCUGAGAGGAUGAUCAGCCACACUGGAACUGAGACACGGUCCAGACUCCUACGGGAGGCAGCAGUGGGGAAUAUUGGACAAUGGGCGCAAGCCUGAUCCAGCAAUACCGCGUGAGUGAAGAAGGCCUUCGGGUUGUAAAGCCCUUUUGUUGGGAAAGAAAAGCAGUAGGUUAAUCCCCCGCUGUUCUGACGGUACCUAAAGAGUAAGCACCGGCUAACUUCGUG
rnacentral:rRNA from 1 species